rnacentral:rRNA from 1 species
GCAUAUCAAUAAGCGGAGGAAAAGAAACCAACAGGGAUUGCCCCAGUAACGGCGAGUGAAGCGGCAACAGCUCAAAUUUGAAAUCUGGCUCUUUUAGGGUCCGAGUUGUAAUUUGCAGAGGGCGCUUUGGCUAUGGCAGCGGUCCAAGUUCCUUGGAACAGGACGUCACAGAGGGUGAGAAUCCCGUACGUGGUCGCUAGCUAUCGCCGUGUAGAGCCCCUUCGACGAGUCGAGUUGUUUGGGAAUGCAGCUCUAAAUGGGAGGUAAAUUUCUUCUAAAGCUAAAUAUUGGCCAGAGACCGAUAGCGCACAAGUAGAGUGAUCGAAAGAUGAAAAGCACUUUGGAAAGAGAGUCAAACAGCACGUGAAAUUGUUGAAAGGGAAGCGCUUGCAGCCAGACUUGCUUGCAGUUGCUCAUCCGGGCUUUUGCCCGGUGCACUCUUCUGUAGGCAGGCCAGCAUCAGUUUGGGCGGUGGGAUAAAGGUCUCUGUCACGUACCUCUCUUCGGGGAGGCCUUAUAGGGGAGACGACAUACCACCAGCCUAGACUGAGGUCCGCGCAUCUGCUAGGAUGCUGGCGUAAUGGCUGUAAGCGACCCGUCUUGAAACACGGACC